CUUUUGCCCUUUGCAGUAAAUCUUGCUGCUACUAACUCUUUGGGACCAAUCAGCUCUCUGUAAAACAGACCAAUCAGUUCUCUGUAAAAUGGACCAAUCAGCAGGAUGUGGGUGGGGCCAGAUAAGAGAAUAAAAGCAGGCUGCCCGAGCCCGCAGCGGCAACUCGCUGGAGUCCUGUUUCACAGGGUGGGGGUUUUGUUCUUUUGCCCUUUGCAGUAAAUCUUGCUGCUACUAACUCUUUGGGUCCACGCUGCCUUUGUGAGCUUUAACACUCACCACGAAGGUCUGCAGCUUCACUCCUGAAGCCAGCGAGACCACGAACCCACACUGAAGGAAGGAAACUCGGAACACAUCCGAACAUCAGAAGGAACAAACUCGACACGUUGCCUUUAAGAACUGUGACACUCACCGCGAGGGUCGGCGUCUCCAUUCUUGAAGUCAGUGAGACCAAGAACCCACCAACCAAUUCCGGACACAAUCUCAGCACUGUGGGAGACUGAGGCACCUGCCAAACCUGCACAGAUUCCUACAGCAGCCAGUUCGCUCUGUCUCGAGGCUUCAGAGGAACACGAACUUCUCUGAUGGAAGAGCCUUGUUCUAGAAGGGAGUGAAGCCUAGGUCUUUCCUGAGCACACAGAAGAUCAAGACCACACUCACUGACUUCUCAUAGUCAAGCAAUUUUGGCCAAUUAAAUGUCAGUUGGAAACUCCUGUGUCAGCUUCUCUGUGGCGGUGAGAAGUCCCUGUGUGACAUCCCAACUCUCCCCUCACCUGCGUUGGCAACCAAGAAAGCCUUGUGUUGGAGGUGGGGCCACAAGUUUAAAGCUAAGUUACCACCUCGAGGGCACAUUCCUGGAGAGCUUCCCAGGCCCACAGUGGCACGUGUAUGAGUGACAGAUCCACUUCUUUAUUACCUUUUUGAAGAACAGGAACCUUUGUCUGGAAAUUCCACAAGUAUGCCUUUUGCAAGAUUAAAAGUGCCACAAAGAACAAAAAUGAGCCCAGGACCAGAUGCAUGUUAAAAGCCAUCAGACACGUUAAGUUUCAUCUCCAUUGACCUGCAGAAGGAGUCUCUCACCACAGCCACCACAUCUAUGCAUGUGCUGAGUCACAUGUGAAGCCAGCACAUCUCAGAGUCUCACCGAAAGCUCAUGAGCCAGUUGGAGUGUGAGGCUUCAGAAUCGCCUUCCAACUCUCUGUGCACUGCACCAGCUGCUUCCCAUAGACUCCUGGUAAAAUAUAGAGCGGAAGGAAGAAGAGCCACUACCCAUAACAUCAGUGGCUGCUAACUAAGGAGUGUUUUGACAUGCUGGUACAGCCUAUCCUCAGCUUUCCAGAAGGUGGAAUCUUGUGAUAGUGGAAAGAAGUAGAAGAGAUGAAGUACCUAUGACUCCAGGAUUUGCCAGUGAAAGAAGUCAACAAUAUUUUAACUUUGAUCUUAACCAAAAGGCCAAGAAGUGAUGCUAAUAUUUUCAUAUACUACGACAGUUGCAGACACACGUCUAUCAUAGCUGGGUAGUAAUCCAGGCAACUCUGCCACAAGUCAUGGGCUCAGCCACCAGUCCACGAAGUCUCCAGUCACACAUAUUGCUUCGGACUAUUCUCUAUCCCCAGUUGUCAAUUAACUAAAAUAUUAAAUGAGCUCCUUCCAGUUGGCUGAGAUUUAAAGGAUGGUUGGAGAUCCAGCAGCCAUCUUGGACCAUGAGGUGAAUCAUGAUGAAGCAAAAUGACAGAAAGAGCCAAGAUCCUUGUCCUGUGGAAAGCAAUACAG
rnacentral:lncRNA from 10 species